rnacentral:rRNA from 1 species
UACGUAGGGGGCGAGCGUUGUCCGGAAUCAUUGGGCGUAAAGAGCUCGUAGGCGGUUCAGCAAGUCGGCUGUGAAAUUCCGAGGCUCAACCUCGGAACUGCAGUCGAUACUGCUGUGACUCGAGUCCGGUAGAGGAGAAUGGAAUUCCCGGUGUAGCGGUGAAAUGCGCAGAUAUCGGGAGGAACACCAGUAGCGAAGGCGGUUCUCUGGGCCGGUACUGACGCUGAGGAGCGAAAGCGUAGGGAGCAAACAGG